GAUGAACGCUGGCGGCGUGCCUAAUACAUGCAAGUCGAGCGAACAGAUGAGGAGCUUGCUCCUCUGACGUUAGCGGCGGACGGGUGAGUAACACGUGGAUAACCUACCUAUAAGACUGGGAUAACUUCGGGAAACCGGAGCUAAUACCGGAUAAUAUAUUGAACCGCAUGGUGCAAUAGUGAAAGACGGUUUUGCUGUCACUUAUAGAUGGAUCCGCGCCGCAUUAGCUAGUGGGUAAGGUAACGGGUUACCAAGGCAACGAUGCGUAGACGACCUGAGAGGGUGAACGGCCACAUUGGAAGUGAGACACGGUCCAGACACAGACGGGGGGCAGCAGUAGGGAAUCUUCCGCAAUGGGCGAAAGCCUGACGGAGCAACGCCGCGUGAGGGAUGAAGGUCUUCGGAUCGUAAAACUCUGUUAUUAGGGAAGAACAAAUGUGUAAGUAACUAUGCACGUCUUGACGGUACCUAAUCAGAAAGCCACGGCUAACUACGUG
rnacentral:rRNA from 1 species